CAGAGACAUUGCCCUUUGGGGUAGAUCUCCCACCCUUUGUUUACAUUACCUUUGUUGCUUUGGCAGGCCCGUCCUUGGACCACCGGCUUAGGCUGGUCCGUGCCUGCCAGAGGACCUUAAACUCUUGAUUUUUUGUGUUGUCUGAGUAAAUAUUAUAAUAAGUUA
rnacentral:misc_RNA from 1 species